GAACGCUAGCGGCAGGGCUUAACACAUGCAAGUCGAGGGGCAGCAUGAUCGAACUUUCGGGUUUGAUUGAUGGCGACCGGCGCAAGGGUGCGUAACGCGUGAGCAACUUGCCCGUUUCUGGGGAAUAACCGGUGGAAACGCCGACUAAUACCCCAUAGUAUUGAUCAGAGGCAUCUCUGUUCAAUUAAAGAAUUUCGGAAACGGAUAGGCUCGCGUGACAUUAGCUAGAUGGCGGGGUAACGGCCCACCAUGGCGACGAUGUCUAGGGGUUCUGAGAGGAAGGUCCCCCACACUGGAACUGAGACACAGUCCAGACUCCUACGGGAGGCAGCAGUGAGGAAUAUUGGUCAAUGGUCUGACGACUGAACCAGCCAUGCCGCGUGAAGGUCACGGCCCUAUGGGUCUUAAACUUCUUUUGUAAGGGAGCAAUAAGGUCUACGUGUAGACUGAUGAGAGUACCUUACGAAUAAGCAUCGGCUAACUCCGUG
rnacentral:rRNA from 1 species